CUACACGACCGUACCGCAAACCGACACUGGUGCGCGAGAUGAGUAUUCUAAGGCGCUUGAGAGAACUCAGGAGAAGGAACUCGGCAAAUUGACACCGUAACUUCGGAAGAAGGUGUGCCUUUAGUAGGUGAACCAUUUACUUGGGGAGCCCAAUGAGGCUGCAAAAAAUCGGUGGCUGCAACUGUUUAUUAAAAACACAGCACUCUGCUAAGACGAAAGUCGACGUAUAGGGUGUGACGCCUGCCCGGUGCUGGAAGACUAAAUGAUGGGGUGCAAGCUCUUGAUUGAAGUCCCAGUAAACGGCGGCCGUAACAAUAACGGUCCUAAGGUAGCGAAAUUCCUUGUCGGGUAAGUUCCGACCUGCACGAAUGGCGUAAUGAUGGCCACACUGUCUCCUCCUGAGACUCAGCGAAGUUGAAAUGUUUGUGAUGAUGCAAUCUCCCCGCGGAAAGACGGAAAGACCCCAUGAACCUUUACUGUAGCUUUGUAUUGGACUUUGAACAGAUCUGUGUAGGAUAGGUGGGAGGCUUUGAAGUGUGGUCGCUAGAUCGCAUGGAGCCAACGUUGAAAUACCACCCUGGUGUGUUUGAGGUUCUAACCUAGGUCCAUUAUCUGGAUCGGGGACAGUGCAUGGUAGGCAGUUUGACUGGGGCGGUCUCCUCCCAAAGUGUAACGGAGGAGUUCGAAGGUACGCUAGGUACGGUCGGACAUCGUGCUAAUAGUGCAAUGGCAUAAGCGUGCUUAACUGCGAGACUGACAAGUCGAGCAGAUGCGAAAGCAGGACAUAGUGAUCCGGUGGUUCUGUAUGGAAGGGCCAUCGCUCAACGGAUAAAAGGUACUCUGGGGAUAACAGGCUGAUACCGCCCAAGAGUUCAUAUCGACGGCGGUGUUUGGCACCUCGAUGUCGGCUCAUCUCAUCCUGGGGCUGUAGCCGGUCCCAAGUGUAUGGCUGUUCGCCAUUUAAAGAGGUACGUGAGCUGGGUUUAAAACGUCGUGAGACAGUUUGGUCCCUAUCUUCCGUGGGCGCUGCAGAUUUGAGGAAGCCUGCUCCUAGUACGAGAGGACCGGAGUGGACGAACCUCUGGUGUAUCGGUUGUCACGCCAGUGGCAUUGCCGAGUAGCUAAGUUCGGAAGAGAUAACCGCUGAAAGCAUCUAAGCGGGAAACUCGUUUCAAGAUUAGAUCUGCCGGGGCCUUGAGCCCCCUAAAGAGUCGUUCAAGACCAGGACGUUGAUAGGUCAGGUGUGGAAGC
rnacentral:rRNA from 1 species